CAACCCAGUGCAACGUCACACAAUAAGAUGGAGCUGAAUUAAUACAGGCUCAUUAGUCUACCAUGUUACAGCCAUAGUAUUGUACUUGAUUAAACACAGAUUCUAAUUAACAGAAAAUGUCAGUUUGCAGAACAAAUUCUAUCGGGGACAACAAUACACUACCCUGUUGACAAAGAAGGGGUUGGCAGGCUAAGAUUGGACAGCGCUCUCUGUGUUCCAAAAUUCAGAUGACCUUCCCAGCUUUUUUGUGCCUGUGAUGAAACAAGCUCUGGUGCAGAAAAUGAAUGUAUUGAAUGCACGUGCUAUGGAAAGUGGUACCACACAAUGUCUUCCCCUGUACAGAAGGCCACUACAGAUGUUAUGUAUGGUAAAUAAAC